rfam:Janibacter sp. Soil728 contig_2, whole genome shotgun sequence.
UGAGGCAGCUGCCAUCCGGCCUCCAGCCGUGACGGCGCCGACCCGACUUCCCCCGGGCCGGAUCGUCCCGGAUGGGGACCAGGUGGCAGCUGCAGGACAGA